CUGGGCGCGGCUGCUGCACGAGGCGCCCGGCCCGGGCCGCCGGCUCAAGGGCGUCAGCAAGAAGGGGCUGGCCCGGGGCUGCUUCGGCCUCAAGCUGGACCGCAUCGGCUCCCUCAGCGGCCUGGGCUGCUAGACCCGGGCUUUGGACUGACAUCACAAUUCUCCCUGGCCCCAUGUGGCUGUCUCCUGACCACCACCCAGAGGAACAGGGAACCCCAGGACUGCACAGAAGACCCGGCUGCAUUUGGAUUUGCGGUACGAGGAGCCGUGGCACCAGCUGUUUUGAUUGAUGUUAUUUCUUAUGAUUAAAAAAGAAAAAAACUUCUCUCUCUCUCAUAUAUCCGAUAUAUAACAAAAGUGCUCCCCAGGACCGCGGGGCCGGGGCUUUCCCCGAGAGACUGACGAAGCCAGCUGUAUACCGUUGCUGUUUGUAAAUUCAUGUCCUGCAUAAAUGUAUUUAUGUUGUAAAGCUAUUUAUAUAUUGUUUAUAAAGAGAUAUUUAUAAAAAAAAUUAUUUAUGUAAUUGACGGAAACGUC